AUUGAACGCUGGCGGCAGGCCUAACACAUGCAAGUCGAGCGGCAGCGGGAAAGUAGCUUGCUACUUUUGCCGGCGAGCGGCGGACGGGUGAGUAAUGCCUGGGAAAUUGCCCAAUCGAGGGGGAUAACAGUUGGAAACGACUGCUAAUACCGCAUACGCCCUACGGGGGAAAGCGGGGAACCUCCGGGCCUUGCGCGAUUGGAUAUGCACAGGUGGGAUGAGCUAGUUGGUGAGGUAAUGGCUCACCAAGGCGACGAUCCCUAGAUGGUCUGAGAGGAUGAUCAGCCACACUGGAACUGAGACACGGUCCAGACUCCUACGGGAGGCAGCAGUGGGGAAUAUUGCACAAUGGGGGAAACCCUGAUGCAGCCAUGCCGCGUGUGUGAAGAAGGCCUUCGGGUUGUAAAGCACUUUCAGCGAGGAGGAAAGGUCAGUAGCUAAUACCUGCUGGCUGUGACGUUACUCGCAGAAGAAGCACCGGCCAACUACGUGCCAGCCGCCGCCGUAACAC
rnacentral:rRNA from 1 species